GAUGAAGAACGUAGCGAAAUGCGAUAAGUAAUGUGAAUUGCAGAAUUCAGUGAAUCAUCGAAUCUUUGAACGCACCUUGCACCCUUUGGCUAUUCCGAAGGGUAUGCCUGUUUGAGUAUCAUGAACACCUCAACUCUCAUGGUUUGCCAUGAUGAGCUUGGACUUUGGGGGUCUUGCUGGCCUGUGGUCAGCUCCUCUCAAAUGGAUUAGCUUGCCAGUGUUUGGUGGCAUCACAGGUGUGAUAACUAUCUACGCUUGUGGUUUUCCACCAGGUAACCUUCAGCAAUGGGGGUUCGCUGGGGCUCAUAAAUGUCUCUCCUGAGUGAGGACAGCUCUUUGAACGUUUGAUCUCAAAUCAGGUAGGACUACCCGCUGAACUUAAGCAUAUCAAUAAGCGGAGGA
rnacentral:misc_RNA from 1 species